rnacentral:rRNA from 1 species
ACUAUUGUCACGGGUUACCGCGGCUGCUGGCACGGAGUUAGCCGGUGCUUCUUCUUGUGAGUGAUGUCCUUCCUGCCGGUUAUUGACCCGCAGGCCUUCUUCCUCACUGAAAGUGCUUUACAACCCGGAAGGCCUUCUUCACACACGCGGCAUGGGCUGGAUCAGGGUUGCCCCCAUUGUCCAAUAUUCCCCACUGCUGCCUCCCGUAGGA